CUAUACUGCAAGUCGAGCGGACAGAUGGGAGCUUGCUCCCUGAUGUUAGCGGCGGACGGGUGAGUAACACGUGGGUAACCUGCCUGUAAGACUGGGAUAACUCCGGGAAACCGGGGCUAAUACCGGAUGCUUGUUUGAACCGCAUGGUUCAAACAUAAAAGGUGGCUUCGGCUACCACUUACAGAUGGACCCGCGGCGCAUUAGCUAGUUGGUGAGGUAAUGGCUCACCAAGGCAACGAUGCGUAGCCGACCUGAGAGGGUGAUCGGCCACACUGGGACUGAGACACGGCCCAGACUCCUACGGGAGGCAGCAGUAGGGAAUCUUCCGCAAUGGACGAAAGUCUGACGGAGCAACGCCGCGUGAGUGAUGAAGGUUUUCGGAUCGUAAAGCUCUGUUGUUAGGGAAGAACAAGUGCCGUUCAAAUAGGGCGGCACCUUGACGGUACCUAACCAGAAAGCCACGGCUAACUACGUGCCAGCAGCCGCGGUAAUACGUAGGUGGCAAGCGUUGUCCGGAAUUAUUGGGGCGUAAAGGGGCUCGCAGGCGGUUUCUUAAGUCUGAAUGUGAAAGCCCCCGGCUCAACCGGGGAGGGUCAUUGGGAAAACUGGGGAACUUUGAGUGCAGAAGAAGAGAGUGGAAUUCCACGUGUAGCGGUGAAAUGCGUAGAGAUGUGGAGGAAACACCAGUGGCGAAGGCGACUCUCUUGGUCUGUAACUUGACGCUGAAGGAGCGAAAGCGUGGGGAGCGAACAGGAUUAGAUACCCUGGUAGUCCACGCCGUAACGAUGAGUGCUAAGUG
rnacentral:rRNA from 1 species